AAAUUGAAGAGUUUGAUCAUGGCUCAGAUUGAACGCUGGCGGCAGGCCUAACACAUGCAAGUCGAACGGUAGCACAGAGAGCUUGCUCUCGGGUGACGAGUGGCGGACGGGUGAGUAAUGUCUGGGAAACUGCCUGAUGGAGGGGGAUAACUACUGGAAACGGUGGCUAAUACCGCAUAACGUCGCAAGACCAAAGAGGGGGACCUUCGGGCCUCUUGCCAUCAGAUGUGCCCAGAUGGGAUUAGCUAGUUGGUGAGGUAACGGCUCACCAAGGCGACGAUCCCUAGCUGGUCUGAGAGGAUGACCAGCCACACUGGAACUGAGACACGGUCCAGACUCCUACGGGAGGCAGCAGUGGGGAAUAUUGCACAAUGGGCGCAAGCCUGAUGCAGCCAUGCCGCGUGUAUGAAGAAGGCCUUCGGGUUGUAAAGUACUUUCAGCGGG
rnacentral:rRNA from 1 species